AGGACCACGCUUCUCAACACUUGAUGUGCAUAGGAAGCACCCUAGUGACCUUGUCAGUUGUGAUUGGGUAGGUCUAGGAUGAGGCCUGGGCACCUGCAUUUUUAACAGUGAUGUCUUGCUGUGAACAGAAUAGGUUCUAAUCUUCCCAAAUUUGGCACCAUCCUGGAGAGAGGCUCUGCAGAAAUGAAAGUUACAUUUAACAUCAUAGUAAAGCUUAAUCCCUGUUAUUUUAGAUAAAGCUUAAUCCCCAUUAUUCUUCAAUGAUGUUGAACAGAAUUUCAUUUCAUUGGAUAUCUCAGGACAUCGUGGACAGUGAUAUCCAUGGAAAGCAAG
rnacentral:antisense_RNA from 1 species